rnacentral:snRNA from 1 species
AUCGCUUCUCGGCCUUCUGGCUAAGAUCCAGUGAAGCAUUUGUUCACCCUAGCACCGUCUCCCACCUGGUGCUCAUCCAUUAGGCCUGGUACUUCUCUUGGCAUAUCAUUUAGACUCACCAAGAAUCCUUUUGCAUUGUUUCCCAAACUUUACUAUUUCAAUGUUCAAAAGGAUAUAUAUAUAUAUAUAUUAUAAUAUAUAUAUAUAUACACAUU